CUGGGCAGGAGCCACCAGAGGCAGUUGGGGGGCUGGCCUGGUGGGCAGAGGGCUUGUGCUCUGGCCUGCCCUUGACACAUAGCUGUAAGAACUGUAGCUAAGUACUGAGUUUCCUGGAAAAAAAUCCAUAAACUGGAGACCAGAAUAUCUUCAAGGCAGGCAGACUUUAUCCAGAGAGGCUGACAGGGCCGUCCUUCAGGCUUGAUACUCCUAUGUCAGCUGACCCUCAGAUAGAACCCUCAAGACAGUGAUGAGAGACUCAGCUGGUGCCCUUUUUUGACACAGGGCUAAUCAUACUGCCAUCGCACACACCUCCUCCUCCUGCUAUCCUUGGCAAUUCCAAGCAUGUACCUCCUGGAAAAUGAAGCCUAUUACACACACCUGCCCCCCGCCUCACUGUGGGACUAACAGCAGGUGAAAAAGUGUCCCGUGGCAGAUAAGGAGCACUGCCACCUGCAACACGAAGCUGGCUGGUGCUCUUGUGCCACCUUGCCCCUGCCUUCACACAGAAGCAGGUUAUUGGCAUUACAGAAACAGACUGGAAAGAAUUCAGCUCAUGAACUGUAAUUCGUCAACCCCAACCACAAAAUAG
rnacentral:lncRNA from 1 species